AAUCUACUUCCUCCGUUCCAUAAUUCUUGUCGAAAUAUUACGUGUAUCUAAACGCUAUUUAGUAAUAGAUACAUUCAUCUUUAAGCAAAUUUGAGACGAGAAUUAUGAAACGGAGGAAGUAUUAU
rfam:Brachypodium distachyon strain Bd21 chromosome 4, whole genome shotgun sequence.